UGAGGAACAUGACCUUCGGCGGGGGAUAGCCGGCCCAACGGCCGGGUAAUACCGCGUACGACCACAUGGGGACAUCCCUGAGUGGUGAAAGCAGCAAUGCGCCGAUGGGGUGCCUCGCGGCCUAUCAGCUAGUUGGUGAGGUAACGGCUCACCAAGGCGACGACGGGUANCUGGUCUGAGAGGAUGGCCAGCCACAUUGGGACUGAGACACGGCCCAGACUCCGUAGGGAGG
rnacentral:rRNA from 1 species